rnacentral:snoRNA from 1 species
GGCAACUCUAUGAUGAAAUAUUUUCGGAUGUUAAAACACAAUUGUCUCCGAGAGCGCUUAACCCCAUGUGGAGAUUUCCGUUGCCUUCCUUCUGACCUUACAGU